rnacentral:rRNA from 1 species
AACGAACGCUGGCGGCAUGCCUAACACAUGCAAGUCGAACGAGACCUUCGGGUCUAGUGGCGCACGGGUGCGUAACGCGUGGGAACCUGCCAUUAGGUUCGGAAUAACUCCCCGAAAGGGGUGCUAAUACCGGAUAAUGUCUUCGGACCAAAGAUUUAUCGCCCUUGGAUGGGCCCGCGUUGGUUUAGCUAGUUGGUAGGGUAAAAGCCUACCAAGGCGACGAUACAUAGCUGGGCUGAGAGGAUGAUCAGCCACACUGGGACUGAGACACGGCCCAGACUCCUACGGGAGGAAGCAGUGGGGAAUAUCGGACAACGGGCGAGAGCGUGAUCCAGCAAUGCCGCGUGAGUGAUGAAGGUCUUAGGGGGGUAAAGCUCUUUUACCCGGGAUGAUAAUGACAGUACCGGGAGAAUAAGCUCCGGCGAACUCCGUG